rnacentral:snoRNA from 1 species
ACGACCUUACUUGAACAGGAUCUGUUCUAUAGGAUCGUACCGCUACAUCCUUUACCAAAAAGGAGGCAAGAACUUAAGUCUGGUUGAUGCAUUCGGCCCUCUGGGCCAGAGCGUGAUUAACGGCCAGGAUAAUCCCUAGGGGUACAUCCGACGGCUGUAGAGGAUCGUUCCUGCCCAUCUCCGGCUGACGCAGGGUGGCCCAGAGGUUGUCUGACAGACU